rnacentral:rRNA from 1 species
UACGGGAGGGGCAAGCGUUGUUCGGAAUUACUGGGCGUAAAGGGCUCGUAGGCGGCCAACUCAGUCGGACGUGAAAUCCCUCGGCUUAACCGGGGAACUGCGUCCGAUACUGGAUGGCUUGAGUGUGGGAGAGGGAUGCGGAAUUCCAGGUGUAGCGGUGAAAUGCGUAGAUAUCUGGAGGAACACCGGUGGCGAAGGCGGCAUCCUGGACUACUACUGACGCUGAGGAGCGAAAGCCAGGGGAGCAAACGGG